AGAAUCAACGCUGGCGGCGUGCCUAACACAUGCAAGUCGAACGAGAAAGUGGAGCAAUCCAUGAGUACAGUGGCGACCGGGUGAGUAACACGUGACUACCUACCCUUGAGUGGGGGAUAACCUCGGGAAACCGAGGCUAAUACCGCAUAAUAUCGAGAGAUCAAAGGAGUAAUCCGCUUUUGGAGGGGUCGCGGCUGAUUAGCUAGUUGGUAGGGUAAUGGCCUACAAAGGCGAAGAUCGGUAUCCGGCCUGAGAGGGCGCACGGACACACUGGAACUGAAACACGGUCCAGACUCCUACGGGAGGCAGCAGUGGGGAAUUUUGCGCAAUGGGGGAAACCCUGACGCAGCAACGCCGCGUGGAGGAUGAAAGCCCCCUUGGGGUGUAAAACUCCUUUCGACCGGGAAAAUAAUGAUGGUAACCGGUGGAAGAAGCACCGGCUAAACUCUGUGCCAGCAGCCGC
rnacentral:rRNA from 1 species